UACGUAGGGACCAAGCGUUGUUCGGAUUUACUGGGCGUAAAGGGCGCGUAGGCGGCUUAACAAGUCACUUGUGAAAUCUCCGGGCUUAACUCGGAACGGCCAAGUGAAACUGUCAAGCUAGAGUGCAGAAGGGGCAAUCGGAAUUCUUGGUGUAGCGGUGAAAUGCGUAGAUAUCAAGAGGAACACCUGAGGUGAAGACGGGUUGCUGGGCUGACACUGACGCUGAGGCGCGAAAGCCAGGGGGAGCAAAACGGGG
rnacentral:rRNA from 1 species